CGCCCGGGCCAGUCUGGCUUCUCCCAGCAACAACCCGCCUUUGCCAGCUGGGAAAGCAAUGGACGGGACAGAUGGAAUGCCAGCUGAUACCUAUCUGCCAGUCUGUUUCCAAAGGUGGAGGGAAAUGCCAAUAUGCACAAUUUAGGUGGAGAGCUGAUCUAAAAAAAUCAAACGAUCUUUCAAAGAAACAUUUUUGGAGGAACAUAGCCCAAGUUCUUGAGCAUGUAGGACAGGGCUAUUUGACCCAUGCCAAGGGCCACAACUGCUUCAAGAUGUGUGAGAUAACAAUCAGGAGGGUCGAGGGAUGUUGCUUCUUGAAGAUGUUUUCUGCUGAGGAGUGCUCCAUCAGUGAAACGUCACCUGCUUCCUCAUACAAUCCCCGUUCUCUUUUCAGGACCCUUUGCCCAGGGAGAGGGAGCUUUCUGCUACGGAGUGCUGUCCUGCCAGCUGCAGCCUUCCUCAUCCAAACUGAGCCAGCCUGGAACUGCUCCUUCACAAGCCUGAGACACAUGGGUGAUGCUGCAAUUGCACCUGCCUCUAAAUACACAUCAGAGUGGGCCCUGAAAUCCCUUAAGGACAAAGUCCACAGAAGCAAGGGCCGUUCUCAUCUGGGACAGGGCAGGCCACAGACCAGUGGUGGAAAAAUACAGGACCAACUUCUGGUCCUUCCAAGACAGACACUUCUUAGGUAAGUCUGACCGAAAGACCGCAAUGAGUCGCAGUGUGGCUGCAGGGACCCUGCCAGAGGCUGUCCCAGGCACAAGGGGGCUGGAAAGGACCAACGAGGAUGAAUGCAAUGCUGCUGCUCCUUUCCUCUACCUGCAGAGACCAGAUACUGACACCAGCUUAUUUUCAUUGUGGCCUAGUGGUGUGUGGCUGGCUGAGUGUAGGAUGAAGUCUGAUAAUCAGAGCUAUGGAAAACUUGCUCACAUUAAAGCUCUCAGGGCUCAGCAGUUUUGACACACCCUUCUUCUUCUGCAUGAUAGCACCUCCCUUCCCCUGCCACCACCCCUCUGGAAAGAUCCAAACUAGACCAAUGUUAAUAGCUGAGGUCUUUAUUUAAAGUUUUUUAUAUACAGUAAAAGUGCCACAGAUAAAUCUGUGACAAUCAGACAAGACAAAUGUAAAUCUCUCUCAACAAUUAGCAGCUUAAGAUCUAUAAACUACAGUGUUACGUUCACAAGUGUCAUUUCUGUACUUUUCAACCCGUGCAAGUGAGUUUUUCUGUUUAUUUUUUUACACUUUUAAAACACACUUACAGCUAAGUCAAUUGCCUACGACUAUACCACCUGGCAUACACAACACAGACACACAGGGUAACUCUUUAGCCACUUUCAGAAUUCAUUUAAAAACUGGCAAAACUACUCAAUCUUGAACCCUUUGUAGCUUGGCUUCUUUUGUUAUAAUGCCUUUUCUUUUUUUUAAUUUAAAAAAUGCAUAUUUUCAAAGCUGACAGACAGUGCUUUCCUGUAACAUGCACCUAAGUCAGCAGUUCAUCUGAUCCCACCUAAGCACAUAUAGGAUUGGAAUAAACCAAUAGAGUAGCUACUGGGAGCAUGCUGAGUAUUCUUGAACUAAACUAAUGAGGCUGAGAGAAAAAAGAACUUUGUAAAAGUUUUAGAAGUAAUUUUUUUUGCAUCAAGAUUUUCUUUCUUCUUUAUAUUGAAGGAAAUGGGGGAAACAGAUGAACUUCACUUGAACCCUCGAAUGUUAAUGAGGAGGUGCUGUUCUUGGAACUUACACAGUCCAUUCCAUUUUUCCCUUUUUAUGUGCCAAGGCAGUAUGUGCUAAACACAUCUAAACAAUUUCUGAAUCACUUUAACUCCGAAUAUGAAAUGUUUUGGGAAACAUUCUGCAACUCAGAGAUGGUCACUAAAAAGUUUUUAUCUACAAAGGAGGCUAUUAAAGGUACUCACACACACACUCACAUCCAUAGCAGAAACUGUCCUCUACGCGUCAUCCAGAAACACUCCAUCAGGAAAGCAAACACAACCAUGUACAAGGAAAGGGAGCUUUAAAGCUAGAAUCACAUUUCCAACAACAUCAUCAUUAAGCUAUCAGAAAUCAUCACAGACUUUCAAAUUGAAGAGGGAGGAAAACCCCAAAAUGUUCUGCUAGUGCAAAAGGCAAAACACAUGGCAGUUGUGUUAGGAUAUGAGAAGCGGAUGCAGCAUCACACAUGACGCUACUGCAGACAACUGUCUGGAAUGGAAGAAACUGUUGAGAGAGAAAGAGACAGACACUUUGUCCAGACCCAUAUGUAUAUGGCCUUCACCAAAGAGUUCUGAGAUGUCAGUUUCUAUUAAGCCUGCACCUUCUGGCAAGCUAGCAAAUGGUAUUUACUGAAUAUGACAGUUGAGAAAAUAAAUGAAAUUAGGAUAUAAAGAAGAGGGACAAACACUUCCUUAAAUACAACAGACACUGAGUAUCCAGAGCCACUGGCUUUUAACUCCUUCCUGAUUUGACCACAUAAAAACCUACCUUAAGCAACUGUAGUGUGAACAAGACUGAGAAAAAGAUGUACAAAGGCCAGGCUUCAGAAAAAAAAGGCAA